rnacentral:lncRNA from 1 species
UGUACAAACACGUUUUAAAUAUAUAUUUAUUUUAUUGGUCAAUGAUUGAAUUUAUGCUGGUUCAAAGCUCCAUAGAGCUCUGUGGGGGUAGCACCAUGAUUCCGACGCCCCGUUAGUUCGACACCACAUUGGUCCGAUUACCCAAUAGCUCGACGCCCUAUUAGUCCGACCACACAUUGGAACGACACACGAAUAAACCGACACAUAAUUAAUGAGCAAUAUUUUGUAUAAAAAAUCUUUAUUUUAAGAGGAUUAU